UUGAAGAUAUUGGAUGAUCGUUUUCAUUCUUAUGUCUCAAUAUUAAAUAAUCUUGAGCUUUAAUGUAAUAAAAUGUUGAGUUUUCUUGUAUGAACAUUAGUUUUUUAAUAAUAACUAAAUCUCAUGAACUUAAGAAAAACCCUAAAAAGUCAAGAGUGCUCUCUUGCGAAUCCCAAAGAAACAGCGGCUACUGUGGUUGGAAAGGAGGUGAGUGGUGACUUGAGGGUAUGGCCGAAGAGAAGGAACUAGCGCUAUUUGAAGAAGAAUUGAUCCAGCUAUCGGUGAAGAGCUCGUCAGUCAGGCCAUCCGAGAAUCCGACGUUGUUAUGUACUGUUUGGACAAAGAAAUCUUACAAUCCAGACAGUUUGAGAGCGCAAUUAAGGAGCAUCUGGAAAACAAAGAGGAAAUUCAAGAUUCUAAUCGCGGGUCAAAACCUUUUCUCGAUAUCCUUCGAAGACAAGGAAGAUCUCGAGUAGAAUUUGGAAGGACGCCCAUAGCUUUUUCGAAAACAUCUACUGAUUCUAGACCAGUUAACGGAACCAAUAGAGAGGAGCAAGAUUAAACUAGUGACAUCUCUGUUUUGGCUAAAAAUUGGACCAUGUCCUCCUGAGUUUGAGAAAAAGGAUUUGAUGUAUGCAGUGGGAUCUACAUUUGGGAGAGUACUUCGAUUGGAAAUAAAAGGUGACUGCUGUCGAAUUAGGGUUAAUUUAGAUGUCCAAAAACCUCUACGAAGAGGUAUUUUUGCUUCCCUAGAGAAACAAGGAAAAAUCUGGCUCACGUUCAAAUAUGAAACCUUACCAACGUUUUGUUUCGGGUGUGGCGGGUUAGGACACGAGGUUAAAGAUUGCAUGCAAAUUUCGCCUGAAGAUCGGUCCAGAUCAGUAGACCAACUUCCCUACUCUAUAGCUCUCAAGGCUGAAUUUACUGUAAUUAGAAAGGAAAGCAUAUGGUAUGGGUCCUUGAAAAAGAAUACAAUGAAGCAAUGUCAGUACCCAGGUGAGGAGAAAAUAGAUACGGAUGGAAAUCACCAUACAGAUACAAUGAUACAGAAGUGACAAAUGUCGAUGGAGGAAGAUUGGGAAAACAACCCAAAAGACCCAAGAGAUAAGAAACGAGCGACAAAUGAGCAGAGAUAAAGCAGCUUAUUUAAACACCACAAAAGGGUCGAUAAUCGUUAAAGAGAAGGAAGAGCAGAAUCAAAGUGACAUCGUAUAGAUUCAGAUAAAUGAACUGGAGAUAAAGAAGUCCACCGAUGGAGUAGCAAUGCAACAAAUAAAUCACCAUCGGAAUAGCUGUCGUCGUUUAGAUAAAAAGGAAUGUUUUGAUACAAACAUGCCUGAGCUGAUUUUGGGUAAACGCAAAUUCAAUCAAGAAAAGCCAGUAGACAUUGACCCAUAUUCUAGUAUUGAGAGUAUCAAAAAAAAGUCAAGGCAAUAAAUGGACACGUGGUGGAGCAUGCAACCUUUGAUUUUGAGAAGGCUUUUACGCAGGAUUUUUCAGAUUUGAAGCAAGAUAUAUCGGUCGGUGCCAAUAGGCAAGCCGACCAAAUGCAAUGAAGAUCCUAAGCUAGAAUGUCUGGGGACUGGGGAAUCCCCGGACAAUUAGAAAGUUCUAACACACAUUGAAACUUUACAAUCCCCAAAUAAUCUUCAUAAUGGAGACAAAACUUGAUUGUAUUCGCAUGGAACGAGUUAGGAAAAAGUGUGGUUUUCAGAAUGGAAUGGACAUCCCAACUCUGGGAACACGUGGUGGUUUAUGCCUUGCAUGGAAUGGAAAUCAUUUGAUUCAUGUUCGUAGUUAUUCAGAGUAUCAUAUCGAUAUUGACAUUAUGGAGAUGAUAAUUCAAGCAAAUGGAGGUUGAUGGGGUUUUAUGGGAAUCUAAGACAGUCAAACAGGCACGAAUCCUGGAACCUUCUUCGAAGACUACGAAAUGCAAACCCUGAGCCUUGGUGUGUAUGUGGAGAUUUUAAUGAGAUUAUGUACGCAAAUGAAAAGAAAGGAGGAGCCAUAAGAGACGAGAGACAAAUGGAGGAGUUUCGGAAGGUAUUAGCUAAAUGUGAUUUGUUUGAUAUGGGUUAUACAGGACAGAAAUAUACAUGGGAAAGGGGCAAUUUUAAGGAUACUAAUAUUAGAGAACGACUUGACUGAGCAGUAGCAAAUAAUGAAUGGUCCAACUGUUCAACGACUAUUCGGUACAGCAUCUCCCUCAUUCAUUGUCUGAUCACCGCCCAAUUUUAGUUCAAAUAGAGAUUAACAAUUCACGUAGUGGUCGACACCACUUUAAAUUCGAAUCAUGGUGGCUUCUCGAAUCAAGAUGUGACGAAGUCAUUAAAAAAUUGUGGGAGGAGAAAGAAGCGAUGUCUUAGGAAAAAUGAAACACCUACGCACUGGUCUACAAAAAUGGGGACGUAGCGUCAAGGUAAAACAUGAUAGGAAAUCGAAGAAAUUGUGGGAUAGAUUGGUCAAACUUGAUGGCAUGAAUAGGGAUGAUGAUGUGUUAGCUGAAAUUAUAGAUGUUAAGUUAGAGCUAAACUGGGAGCUGGAAAAAGAGGAAUUAUAUUGGGAGCAGCGGGCUAGAGCCAACUGGUUGCGUGAGGGGGAUAAAAAUACAGCUUAUUUCUACAAUAAAGCAUCUCAAAGACAAAGAGUAAAUAAGAUUCGUGGAUUGGAAGAUAGAGACGGGGUCCUCAAAUCGGAAAGAAUGGAUAUAGAGAUCAUUAUCAAAGAUAACUUUAUGGGGUUGGUAAUAAAAACCAUCUUUUUUCGGGUGUCCAUAGGUGCAUUACGGAGGAUAUGAAUCAAAUUCUAGUAGCAGAUUAUAAGGAGAUAGAAAUAGUUGAAGCGUUUAAUAGUAUUGGGCCAACAAAAGCAUCUGGGCCUGAUGGUUUUCCAGCUAUUUUCUUUCAGAAAUUUUGGCAUAUUGUGGGAAAUGAGGUAAGUGCUUUCUGCCUAGAUGUUCUGAACAAAGGCAAAUCUUUAAAAUCUUUAAAUUACACAAACAUAGUACUAAUCCCAAAAAAUGCCUAUCCAAAGAACCUAAUUAAUUCUUCGGCCCAUUAGCCUGUGUUCGGUACUUUGCAAAAUUAUUUCAAAAUCCAUCGCCAAUAGACUUCAAAAAGUACUGGAUUCUUGUAUUGAUCUAGCUCAAAGUGCGUUUGUACCGGAUAGGUUAAUUACUGAUAAUGUCCUUCUAGCUUAUGAAAUAUUACAUACUUUGAGGAACAAAAAGAUAGGAAAAAAAGGAUUAAUGGCUCUUAAGAUUGAUAUGAGUAAGGCGUAGGGUAGAAUAGGGGAUUUUGCAAAAAAUAAUGCUCAAAAUGGGUUUUAAUGCUGAAUGGGUUGAGAGAGUUAUGCAUUGUAUUGCCACUGUUUCAUAUUCGGUGGUACUUAAUGGAACCCCAAGAAUAGUUUUUACACUUGAGAGAGGGUUGCGAAAAGGGGACCCACUUAGCCCUCUAUUAUUUCUCAUAUGUAGUGAAGGACUUUCUACUUUACUUAGGCUCGCAACUGAGAAAAGCAGACUCAAAGAAAUUAAAGCAAGCAGACGAGGGCCUCAAAUCUCUCAUCUUCUAUUUGCAGAUGACUGUAUACUAUUCGGGGAAGCAACUGAGAGGGGAGCAAAGACAAUUGAACAAAUUCUUAAAGAGUAUGAGGAGUGUUCUUGUCAAUGUAUCAAUUAUGGGAAAUCGAUUGUGUUUUUUUAGUACAAAUACAUUCGAAACAGUCCGGGUUGAUAUUUCUAAUCGGAUGAGAGUUAAAAGGUCCAAUAGUUCAAAAAAAUACUUGGGUCUGCCAAAUUUGGUGGGAAGGGGAAAACGUAGGGCUUUUCAACACCUGAAAGACCGUAUAAAAAUAAAAAUUGAUAACUGGAGUAAUCGGUUAUUAUCACAAGGAGGAAAAUAGGUGUUCAUUAAAGCUGUGCUACAAGCGAUUCCAACAUACACAAUGGCAUGUUUCCUACUACCGCUAUCAUUAUGUAAGAAGAUUGAGCAAUUAAUGGCUAACUUCUAGUGGCAGAAGGGUCAAGGUAAACGUGGAAUUCAUUGGUGCUCAUGGAAUAAAUUAUGUGAAUUAAAAGUCGAGGGUAGACUUGGAUACAGAAAUUUAGCUAAAUUUAAUUUGGCCUUUCUUGCAAAGCAAGGCUGGAGAAUUAUUGAUAAUCCUAUGUCCCUUUUAGCUAGAACAUUAAAAGCCAAGUAUCAUCCAAAUUCUGAUUUUUUAAGCUCAGAGUUAGGGAGCUUACCAUCAUAUACUUGGAAACGUAUAUGGGCUGCAAAGGGACUGCUGUUCGCAGGAUUAUAGUGGAAGGUGGGUAACGGGCAAAGCAUCAGAAUUGAAGAAGAUGUCUGGGUUCCAAAUGUGGAGAGCGGGCUGGUUAAAAAAAAUGUCAAUAGGCAAACUGUUACAAAAGUCGAAGAUCUUAUUGAUAAUAGGAAUAGAAAAUGGAAUUCGGAACUGAUUUUAAAGACCUUCUCUAAAGAGGUCGCUCAAAAGAUCUUGUUAAUUCCACUGGCUCAGCACACUCACGAAGACUUUCUGAGUUGGCAAGGCGAGGCAUCUGGAGAGUAUUCUGUGUGCAGCAGUUACAAAAUCCUCUUACAAAGAAAUGAAAAUUACAGGCAAGAGGAAAUCAAUACAUGUUACAAAAAAACUCUGGAGCUGUGACCUCCCUUCAAAAAUUAAUAUUACAGCCUAGAGAGUCACCCUUAACUUUAUCCCUACUCUAGUAAACCUAAAAGCUAAGCGACUAAUAAAUGAGGCCAAUUGUUAGAGGUGCUUGUAAGGGCUGGAAACAAGAGAACACGUCUUCCGGGAUUGCACUGUCACAAAAGAAAUAUGGGAAAAAUUAGAGUUUACAUGGCCUCAGGCUCUUUCACAAGUUGAGUUUAUGGAAUGGUUUACCUGAAUUAUGCUCCACAGUACAAGAGAAGCCAGUCAGACCUUCAUUUGCACUUUAUGGGCUAUCUGGGCAGCUAGAAACAAAUGGAUGUAUGAAAACCACAAGAGAACUGGAGCAGAAAUAGUAAAAUUCAUACGGGGAUAUAUACAGGAAGUUAAAGACAUUACGAAAACAGAUCUUGCCUUAAGGUUGGAAUCUGAGUUAUGGAGGCCUCCGGAAAAAGAGUUCUUCAAGAUAAACUUUGAUGCUGCCUUUGAUAAUAGAUAGAACAGAUCCUGUUCAAGAAUAAUAAUCAGAAAUUUCAAGGGUGACAUUAUAGUAUCCAACACAAUAAUUCAUACCAACAUAUGCACUAGUUUUGCGGCUGAAGCAAACGCAUGUCUACAGGCAGUCAAGAUGGGCAGAGAAUUAGGGAUAAAACAGAUUAACAUUGAAGGAGACUCCUUAACAGUUAUAAAGAAAGUUAAAAGCUCAAAAAGAGACAGAUUGGAAAUAGGACCUUUUAUCUAUGAUAUAAAAGAACAGAAAGCAACAUUCCACGAUUUUCAGUUUCAAUAUGUCAGACGAUCAGCAAAUACAGAAGCACAUAAUCUGGCAACGGAAGGGCUAAAAAUGGACAGAAGUACAUACCUGGCUCCUGGGUCCGGCGGAAAUGGCAUUUCUGAAGCAGAGGUAGAUCGGGGAUAGAGAUAAACCAAUUGGAAAUAGUAACAACACCAGUUGCGGGGACAAAAGAGGAGAAGACGAUCUAUCUAGCAGGAAAAUACAUGGCGGUACAAAAAUCUUUAGAAAAGGAAAAUGAGUGGAAGACGGGCUGCGAAUAAGAAGAAGGCAACGAUGGAAAAGAAAAGAUCAAAGGAAUAAGACUAACAGCUGGGAAGACAAUAUCUUUUCGUUGGA
rnacentral:lncRNA from 1 species